ACUACAUGAAGCUGGAAUCGCUAGUAAUCGCAGAUCAGAAUGCUGCGGUGAAUACGUUCCCGGGUCUUGUACACACCGCCCGUCACACCAUGGGAGUCGGAAAUGCCCGAAGUCAGUGAACCCAACCGGUAAGGAGGGAGCUGCCGAAGGUGGAGCCGGUAACUGGGGUGAAGUCGUAACAAGGUACC
rnacentral:rRNA from 1 species